rnacentral:rRNA from 1 species
AUUGAACGCUGGCGGAAUGCUUUACACAUGCAAGUCGAACGGUAGAGGGGGCAACCCCUCGAGAGUGGCGAACGGGUGAGUAAUAUAUCGGAACGUGCCCAGUCGUGGGGGAUAACGUAGCGAAAGUUACGCUAAUACCGCAUACGAUCUAAGGAUGAAAGCGGGGGAUCGCAAGACCUCGCGCGGUUGGAGCGGCCGAUAUCAGAUUAGGUAGUUGGUGGGGUAAAGGCUCACCAAGCCAACGAUCUGUAGCUGGUCUGAGAGGACGACCAGCCACACUGGAACUGAGACACGGUCCAGACUCCUACGGGAGGCAGCAGUGGGGAAUUUUGGACAAUGGACGCAAGUCUGAUCCAGCCAUUCCGCGUGCAGGGUGAAGGCCCUCGGGUUGUAAACUGCUUUUGUACGGAACGAAAAGGUCUCUCUUAAUACGGGGGACUCAUGACGGUACCGUAAGAAUAAGCACCGGCUAACUACGUGCCAGCCGCCGCAGUAA